AAACGGCUGCUAAUACCGCAUAAGCCUACAGUGCCGCAUGGUACAGCAGGAAAAACUCCGGUGGUACAGGAUGGGCCCGCGUCUGAUUAGUUAGUUGGCAGGGUAACGGCCUACCAAGACAACGAUCAGUAGCCGGCUUGAGAGAGUGGACGGCCACAUUGGGACUGAGACACGGCCCAAACUCCUACGGGAGGCAGCAGUGGGGAAUAUUGCACAAUGGGGGGAACCCUGAUGCAGCAACGCCGCGUGAGCGAAGAAGUAUUUCGGUAUGUAAAGCUCUAUCAGCAGGGAAGAAAAUGACGGUACCUGACUAAGAAGCUCCGGCUAAAUACGUGCCAGCAGCCGCGGUAAUACGUAUGGAGCAAGCGUUAUCCGGAUUUACUGGGUGUAAGGGGAGCGCAGGCGGUACGGCAAGUCCGAUGUGAAAGCCCGGGGCUCAACCCCGGGACUGCAUUGGAAACUGCCGCACUAGAGUGCCGGAGAGGUAAGUGGAAUUCCUAGUGUAGCGGUGAAAUGCGUAGAUAUU
rnacentral:rRNA from 1 species